CCGAAAGGCCAGCCUUCACAAGCAUGUUCGGCGGCCGAAAGUUCCUUCGGCUGCCGAACCUGGUUUCUCCCAAAUGGCAGAAACUCGACUCCAACAUGCACAACAACCUCCCAAACCUUCUAUCAUGCAUUCUACUCAACCAAAACAUGCAUAGAAACAUACAUCAGCUCCUAGGGGCUUCAAACUAUCUUAAACCCCAACUACAACACAUCAAACA
rnacentral:lncRNA from 1 species